rnacentral:lncRNA from 1 species
UAAAAAUUAUAGAGGAUGAAUUUGAUAUUCAAAGCGUUUCAAUAAAAUAAAACAGAGUAUAAGGGGCGGAACGAAAGUUUAUAAUGCAGAAGGUUUCAUAAUACUUAUUAAUAAAUUAUAAAAAAUAUAUAGUACAAGGGGCAAAAUGGUAAUUUACAGUAACAAUUCAGAAAAGACAAAAACAGAUGUACGUUACGUUAACUGUGACUUAGGCGGAUCCCUUUACUUAUUUGUCUUAUUUCUCUAGCUCUGAUUUUGUCCCAGCUGGUGUCAAAAGUCAUUUUCCAAAUAAUAACGUUAAGACUCUUAUGCACAGUCCUUUGGAUGUUUCACCCAAUUUCAAUCUUGCAAUAAAAUAGCCCUAAUCGCUACUAAUGAUGUGAUUGACAGAUGUACCUAGUUGACAUUACAGGUUUGAUUUAUAAGCCAUUUUUAUAACUGUCAAAUAAAAUCCCUAGUUUUCUUUGACUUCAAUAGUUGUGUGUGGCAUUUCGAUCACGAUGGGGACCGGCCCAUUUGUGUCUCAAAAAUCCCAUAUUUUCAUCAGGCCGCCGAAAGUUUACUCUCGUAUAAUUCCAAAAGAGUUUCCAUGGGUCAGAAGAAGAACAUGGAAAUGAAGAAAAUCUGUUGCAGUCUUACAGAUUCUGCUAUUGGAGUCUUUUAACUCCGUAAUCAUAAAUAUAUAUAUGAAGAGUGGGUAGACCUACAGGCCCUUUUCAGCAAGACGUUUAGUUGUUUAAUCGUGAGAUUAAUUUGUGAUAGACGCAGAACUAAUUGAUUUGUAACAAUAUCAACCACAGAUAAUUUAUUAUAUGUCAUCAACAUCAAUCUCAUGGGGGCCAUUUAGUUCAAAUGUUCAAUGGAAUGACUAUAGUAUGUUGAAUUUUUCUCAUAAACCGCAAGUGGGACGCCAUUAACCGCAAGUGGGACGUACUAUUUAUCCAGUGUAUGAUUUUCCAAAAUUUGACUAAUUAAUAAGAUUUAGAUAUUCCUUUCCAAAAAGAAAAAAAAUAUAUAUUUAUACAUAUCUCAUUAAUAAUACUCUUUUGAGUGAUGAUAAUAUAUGUUUUAGCUUGAUGAUGAAAGAAAUUAGGCGUUUGCAUAAUUUAAUUACUUCCUUUUUCGGAAUAUUUAUCCUAAGUUCCGAUUAAAAUCAUGUCAAGUAUCAGAAAAUUAUUUUCUAAGUCUCGGUUGGUAUUAUCCGCAACUAAACCAAUAAUGUAAUCUAAAGUUUACUUUGAUGACAUAUAUUUCGCAUGCUUAAUUACAUCACUAAGGUAACUCCCUGGCCUACCUUUGUUUUACCCGCACAGUCUCAAAAGCAAUGGGGCAAAGCUCUGCUAGCUGCUUCUAUAACCACAACAAAAAGUAGGCAACACAACCCAAUCUUUAUAUCACCUGGAAAUUAAUUUCAUAAUCCGAAGAAACAUCCAAAAACCGUCAUGUAAACUGCUAUUAGUCAACAAAAUCAAUCAGUCUCCACAAUAGAAAUUAGUCACGAGGCCCCAUUUUCUCAUACCAUUUGUGCACAUUUUCCUCUUUAGAAAAUGCAAAAGGUAAAGAGGUACAAAGGAAGCAAAGGAAACAAACAAAUUAGAAAAAUAUGCAACAAAGUUAAAACAAAGAAAACAAGGAGCUGCGGCAAAGACACAAGCCCGCUUUAGGGGUUUACUAAUUCAAAAACUUUGAAUGGCUUUUUCUUUGGGCGGUCGAUGACGAAAGAGAUGUUGCAUGUGUCUUUGCUUUUGUCGGCUGAUAGUCAAUGGCCUAGCCGUACUCUUUUAUUUAACAAGUAUCUCUGUAUUUUGACACGUCUAGCUUCAAAUUUGAUCUUUUUUACACAUGAUCGUGUACAUGUAUACAUCUAAGAGCACGAGAGGGCAGAGACCCAACUCUUUGUUUUGUACAAAUAAUUUUUACUUUUUGACGUAUAAAUGACGUAUGUCUUACAUGCAUGCCCAGCUUUGACCUGAACAACCGGUAACGCGACAGCACCUUCGAAUCGUACGAAUAGAAGUGAGUUGUUCAAUUGGGUCUUUGGCCCUUUUCGCGAUUUAUUGAUUUAAGAGGUACGUGGUGGUUUUGUCUUCGUAGAGUUUGACUACAUGCAUGAGUCAUGACUAAUAUCUAAUAGCAGUGACAUUUAAUCUCUUAAAUUAUCUUAUUAGUUCUUGUAUUUCAUCUAAUUACAUUUAUUUUUCAUAAAUAUCCUUAUUAAAAAAAAAAAGAGAGAGAUUUUACUUUUGACCUUUCUCUCUCAUCAUCGCUUUUUAUCUUUUAUGUAUCAUCAUCAAUUAUUCGCCAGCAUAAUAUUUAAUUUUUAGGUACUUUUUAUAUUUAAAAAAUGAUUAUCACAAUUUUUUAACGAUGUGUGAAACGUAUGGAACCGGACAGACCACUGUGCCGCCGCGUUUAAAGUCAUCGGCACAGCCAUUAAAGCUGUUGAUGUAAGAAUCGUGGUCUGGUUUUCAUACUUAAUAACAGGGACAACUUGAAAUUGAGUAAAAAGAAAUUCUGAAGUAUAAAAUAAUAAUAAAUAGCUUGAGAGAAUGAUUAUAUAAAAUUAAACUCACUUCUAUAUUGAUUGAUAAUGAGUUUUGUAACUUUUUUUUUUUCAAAAAGAAUCCGAUGCGUUAGAAUGGUGCUUGCCAGAAAAAGAAGAGAUUGAGACAGAGAAUGAUGAGGGAGAGAAAAAUGAAUAAUAAGGAUAAUUAUGGAAAUAAUAAAUGUUAAUUAAAAAGUGGAGAUGCUGAAAUAAACUGCAGG